rnacentral:rRNA from 1 species
GAUGAACGCUGGCGGCGUGCCUAAUACAUGCAAGUCGAGCGAACAGACGAGGAGCUUGCUCCUCUGACGUUAGCGGCGGACGGGUGAGUAACACGUGGCUAACCUACCUAUAAGACUGGGAUAACUUCGGGAAACCGGAGCUAAUACCGGAUCAUAUAUUGAACCGCAUGGUUCAAUAGUGAAAGACGGUUUUGCUGUCACUUAUAGAUGGAUCCGCGCCGCAUUAGCUAGUUGGUAAGGUAACGGCUUACCAAGGCAACGAUGCGUAGCCGACCUGAGAGGGUGAUCGGCCACACUGGAACUGAGACACGGUCCAGACUCCUACGGGAGGCAGCAGUAGGGAAUCUUCCGCAAUGGGCGAAAGCUUGACGGAGCAACGCCGCGUGAGUGAUGAAGGUCUUCGGAUCGUAAAACUCUGUUAGUAGGGAAGAACAAAUGUGUAAGUAACUAUGCACGUCUUGACGGUACCUAAUCAGAAAGCCACGGCUAACUACGUG